UAUCCGGAAUUAUUGGGCGUAAAGGGCUCGUAGGCGGUUCGUCGCGUCCGGUGUGAAAGUCCAUCGCUUAACGGUGGAUCCGCGCCGGGUACGGGCGGGCUUGAGUGCGGUAGGGGAGACUGGAAUUCCCGGUGUAACGGUGGAAUGUGUAGAUAUCGGGAAGAACACCAAUGGCGAAGGCAGGUCUCUGGGCCGUUACUGACGCUGAGGAGCGAAAGCGUGGGGAGCGAACAGGAUUAGAUACCCUGGUAGUCCACGCCGUAAACGGUGGAUGCUGGAUGUGGGGCCCGUUCCACGGGUUCCGUGU
rnacentral:rRNA from 1 species